UCUCUUCUGUGCUCCCACACUUGCAUCUCCAUUCUUCACUUGUCCUUGAACUCACCCAAACUAUCAAUCCAUCAUCCAAUGAAUUGUCCGUAAAGGGGAUCAAGGGGCGUCUCAAUCCUCUGCCGUAGGCUUGCAUCGGCGACAUAGUGAUGGCAACCGUGAAGAAGGAAAAGCCAAAUCUGAGAAAGAAGGAUGGCUGCCACGAUGGUUAAACCGGAUCGGAAGAGACUCAACUAGAUCGACCUCAUCAGAAUCUAGUUUCAGUGACUCAAUUUUUUAUGGGUUUAUGCCUAUCAACUCUCAACUCUAAUCAGGAUCCCCAAUUUCAUCAAUGUGAAAUUGGAAUUCGUAGAGGAUGGCUAUCAAGAUACACGCCAAGUUAAAUGGGAAGAAUCUCAACCAGAUCGACCUCAUCAGAAUCUGGUUUCAGUGUUUCAAUAAAGUAUGGGUCUACGCCUAUCAUCUCUAAUCCAAGAUCUCAAAUUUCAUCACUGAGUAGAGGCUAUAACCAUGGCAGUGGCUAAACCUAAGCUGAUCAUCAUUGAACCUAUUCAUCACCAGAAAGAUGAAAUAAAAUGAAUUAGAUCAAGAUAUCAGCCAUCCAUCCCCAGACAGACUCGAUGUUGGACCAGAACCAAAUUAAAAAAAAAAAAAAUUAUAAUAAUGAUUCCUACCCACCAUUGUUGUUAGUGGUUCCAGUAUGUCAGAGAGAAGCCACACACAAGUAACUCGAGACUAUUGAGGGAAAGCCGCCCCUCUACAGAGCACCGACUCUAUUAAAUGUGGCUGUAGCGUGGCUAUGGUUGUUAGACACGUACAUGUGUGUCCUUUGAUGUCUUUUUGUCACGCAUGCUGUGUGUGGCUUUUGCCCAUAAUUGUAGUAGUGAAAAAUUCA